GGCGGGUGGGGGAGCGUGGGGCCGCGGUAAACAAACAGGAGAAGCUUCGGCGGGGGCCGAGAUGUAGUAUAAACGUUAAUGGAUGUCCAGGGCGCGCCGAUGCACCGGCGGCUGGCCAGAGGUACUAGGGAGGCGCUGGCAGGAGCCCUGGCGAAGAUGCACCUUCCCCAGCCUGGAAAGAUCAGCACCUGUGGUCACUGGAAGCCCACCUUUGAGAGUGGUGACUAAUAAUACUGGGGAGUGAGUGGUAACUUCCAGCUGCCAUCCAAAUUUCCCAACUUAAAUCCAGGCCCAAACUCAGCCUCUGGGACCUUUGAAAAGAAUGCUGCCAACACCUAACACCUACCGUUUAAUCUUUAACACUUAGUGUUAAGUUUGAACCCAGAAUGAAAUGAAACAAAUCUUCACGCAAAAUCGAGUACUGCUGAUGGAAAGUGAGCUGGAGGGAAGUUAGCGCUUAUCUCCCGCGUCUCCUCAACUGAAUGUGCAGGACCGGGGCCGGGCUUGGGGUGAUAUACCUGGAAAGAGCUGUGGAUCCUACUGAUGUCUUCUGGUGGAUUUGUUCGGCCGUGGGAACAUGGGCACCCGGGAGUGGAGUGAGACUUGGCGAAAGGGAGACUGGAUGCUGGAGAAUGUAGAGGUUGGUUCUGUAGGAGGAAAAAGGGGAAUGUCUCCUUGAGGCCCUGUGUUUGUCAACAACAACGAUGAUGAGUGCCCACUAAGUGCCAUGCCCUGGGCCAAGCACUAUAUGUCCCUUAAUUCUGUUUCUCGCUUUGCCUCUCUUUUCACAAUCUUAAGAACACCCUUCUCUGGAAAAAAUUUAAUAUAUGUGAAGAACUUAGAACAAGGCUUGCAGAAAAAUAAUGGCUGUAUGUGUGUUCUUUAUUUUAUUAUUAUAUUUUUACUCUGGAAUAGGCUGCAAUCCUCCACAUAAGAAGAGGUUUUCCCAGGUUCGCUAGAGUAAGUCCUAAACUUGCUUCUAAAUAACACCUCCGCCCUCUGGAGCAGAGCCGCAGAGAGGCCUCUUUGCUUGGGUACCCUGUUUCCACACAGUGGCUCCCAUUUCCUGUCUUCCUGUGUCUAACCACUCUUACCCCAUAAAUAUUCCUUCUCAUACUUUCA
rnacentral:lncRNA from 1 species